rnacentral:rRNA from 1 species
GAUGAACGCUGACAGAAUGCUUAACACAUCAGCAAUUGAUUGGUGGCGGACGGGUGAGUAACGCGUAUAGAUCUUACCUCACACCUAGGGACAACAUUUGGAAACGAAUGCUAAUACCUAAUACUGUGAGAGAGCUUUCCGUCCCAUUAGCUAGUUGGAGAGGUAACGUCUCACCCCGGAGAUGAUGGGUAGCCGGCCUGAGAGGGUGAUCCGCCCCAAGGGGACUGGGACGCGGCCCUUACUGAUACGGGAGGCAGCGGCGGGGAAUAUUGGACAAUGGACCAAAGUCUGAUCCAGCCAUUCUGUGUGUAAGAUGAAGUUGUCGGAAUGAAAAGUGCUUUGAGUUGAGAAGCGGUACCAACAGAAGAAGUGACGGCUAAAUACGUGCCAGCAGCCGCGGUAAUUC